AUUGAACGCUGGCGGCAUGCCUUACACAUGCAAGUCGAACGGUAACAGGUCUUCGGAUGCUGACGAGUGGCGAACGGGUGAGUAAUACAUCGGAACGUGCCCGAUCGUGGGGGAUAACGAAGCGAAAGCUUUGCUAAUACCGCAUAAGAUCUACGGAUGAAAGCAGGGGACCGCAAGGCCUUGCGCGAACGGAGCGGCCGAUGGCAGAUUAGGUAGUUGGUGGGAUAAAAGCUUACCAAGCCGACGAUCUGUAGCUGGUCUGAGAGGACGACCAGCCACACUGGGACUGAGAAACGGCCCAGACUCCUACGGGAGGCAGCAGUGGGGAAUUUUGGACAAUGGGCGAAAGCCUGAUCCAGCCAUGCCGCGUGCAGGAUGAAGGCCUUCGGGUUGUAAACUGCUGUUGUACGGAACGAAAAGACUCUUUCUAAUAAAGAGGGUCCAUGACGGUACCGUAAGAAUAAGCACCGGCUAACUACGUGCCAGCCGCCGCCGUAAUAC
rnacentral:rRNA from 1 species